ensembl:lncRNA
CUCUGAGACCAGUUUAAUGUUUACAGACAAUGAGGAAGUGAACUCUGAUCGCAGGCGUUUGCAGUGUCGGUCCUCUGAAGGUCAGACGGAGGGACCUGAACGGACCGUGGUCUGCUGCCUGUGGAGAUGAAGGUGGAGGAGAAGCUGGAGGUGAAGGUGGAGCUGCUGAAGUUCUGCUUGGCAGUCUUUAACACCGUGUUUCUGAGGAGCUGCAGGUGGUGUCCGUGGGCCUGCUGGUGAUCGGUGGUGUUGGCGGUCAGCGUGGCAGCGACCUGUGAGAUCAGGUUCCUACUGCUGACGGUGCUGCUGAUUGGCUGAGCAACACCUACAUCCAGAGCCUGAACCUGACGAGUCCAGACGUGCUUCCGUGUUCCUGCUUUCACUCGUUUCAGCGCAGCGUCAACUCUUCCUGGUGCUCCGAGCUGCUGAACCUCACUCUGAUUGGCCAAGGGAGCGGCACGAGCUCGCUCCUGAGGGGGCGCCGGCGGCUCUAAACCUGCUGUGUUUCAUAUCGCUGGUGUGAUGUGAUGUUUUACCCAUGAUGCUGCUGGGUUUGUGGUUUUCAGGGCUGCAGUCAGACGUUCAGUGAUUGGCUGCAGGAGAACUCCCUGACCAUCAUCGCCAUGGACGUCGCCCUGCAGUUACUGCAGGUGGCGCUGUUCGUCAUGGCGGUGUAUCUGUACCGUGCAUUUGGAGAAGGCCGCGCUCUGAAACGGACCAAUCUGCUGGCUGGCAGAGACCACGCCCCCACCGAUGACCUGGGGGAUCUGAACUACGCCUACAAUGACCAGGUUGGAGCUUACAUAGACCCCCAUCACCUGCCUUAUCACCACAAUGACCACGGCCAGGUGUAUGUGGACCAAGUGCAGAGCUACUAACCUGCUACAAACAUUAUAGGCUCAGGUUCUGGUUCUGGAAACAUGAGCCUCCAACCAGCCUGCGGUCUUAUACCCUCUGUUAUCCAACAGACACAGCUUCUCAGAAUACACACACACAUCUUAGAGCAGGCACAGGCACAAUCAUAUUUCACAGUAACAUAUCAUGGAUGAGAUCAUCGGAGUGACAUCACAUAUACGUCUAUAGUAAGACAUCUAUAAACACACCAACACCUGUGUGGAAAACAACGAACGAUGGCAAAAACACAGCUAACACUACACAACCAAUACUAAAACAACACAACUGGGGAG